rfam:Lupinus angustifolius cultivar Tanjil contig_12121, whole genome shotgun sequence.
GCCGAGCUUGGUAACUCUAGCUUAUAACCCAAGUGGGGGCAUCAAGGUGAUGGAACAUGGCUAUGGUUCAUCUAGGUUGGGGUUUGUGGUGCACCAUGCUGGCUUGCCCAUUCCAAGUUGAGAGUUGAGUCAUGGUUCUUGAGUGAAGGCUCGGGUAUCAUGUCUCCUAGACUAGAGGGCAAAGCGUGAGGCUGGCUUCACAGAGCAGCGAAUACUUCUCGCUCUUGACAGUGGAAGGAUCACAGGCUGCUGCACCCUCACCUCAAAAUGCCUAGUGUGCCAAGCUACUUGAACCAUCACUUUU